GCCACGGAACUAAUCCUUGAUAGCCCCACCUCCCUCAAAAAAAAAAAAAAAAAGCUGCCACAAAAUGUAAAUGUAGGGGUGUCCAUUGUGAAAAAAAAUCAAUGCCAAACUGGGCAGAAGGGACCCCAGCCCUUUGUGUGUGAGUCCUUUAAAAUACCAGUCAUUUUUCACUGUGAGUUUUCACAACACUCUUGCGGGAGGAGCCCAUGAGAGUGGGUCAGAGGUCCCAAUGGAUGGACGUAGUUAGAGUGUUUGUUUUCGCUCUUUUCCAGCUCACUUGAUGCUUGUCUUGAGUAUUUUUUUUUUAACCUUCCCUAAUCACAGUCCGGAAUAUAGGCCUUUGAAGUGGACAAAGGAAGGGAAAUGCAGUCUCACAGAGGGGGGCAGGGGCACAGCACUGAGUGCUGGAGGAGGGUGCGUGGAUGACCCGGAGGGAUGAAUCAGAUACUGGAGCAGGAUACCUGCCUCCUUGAGACACUUAGGAUGAGCGAGCUUACUAUACUAGAUGCAGUGAUUAGUUUGUUGGGAAACAAAAUGUUCUUUAUGAUACAAAUGAAGAAUGUGGCCUGAGGGUGUUAUUCUUUCUAAUGGAAGGGACAUAAAUCUAUUUUAUGUAGUUUUAAAUAGAAUGCCUAAAUUAGGCUGUGGGAGAUGAUUUUUAGUGGUUGUAAGAAAGAGCAAAUUUAGGGAGCGUUGAACUUCAGGCCUUUUAUUCCUGGGAAGAUAUCUAUAGAGACAAACAUUUAAAGUAAUUUUUGAUUAGAAAUAUACAUGGGCCCUUAUAAUGGACAGUAGAAUGUCCUCAUUCUGCUGGUGUGGUAUAUUCUUAAUUUGUACUCCCCUAAAAUGUAUCAGAAUGACAAUUAUGCAUUCAUGAACUAUGCCAGAGUAAUGUUUACAGAUACUUUGUAAUGACUUCAGGAGGCACGUUCGGGGGGGAUUGUGUGGCAGUUCCCUCAUCUUUUACAGUGGUUUCUCCACACUCUGGUUUAUGACGCCAUGCUCAGUAUCAAAAGGCUUGGCAGGAGGGGGCCCACUAACCAUUGCUCUUCAGUCCUACAGGAAAGGCGCUUCUGCCAAAGUCCCUGUUUUCUGAGAAGCACUGCAUACAUCUGUAGGUACUGGAAAUCCAUCUGCACCAGGGUUAGAUCUAAUCCCAGGAAAAUGACCAGAGAUAAAGUUAUAUUCAGUUUAGUGUCAGAUGAGUUUUGGAGCCAUAUACCAUAAUGAAUUCAUAAAAAUCAAUAUAAAAUAUUUUCACUCAAGAUUCUGGUAACGAGCAUAUGUUUGUGAGCUACUUCUUUUUCUGUGUCAGACUUAGUCACGAGCAAUGUGUUUAAGGGGACACAGUUAUAUGAAGUAGGUGGAAACACAUAUACUCAUAUUUGGUCUGCUAUUUGGAAGUUGUGUUGGGUCAAACUGGGCUCCUUAAGUUUGGUAUACAUUUCUUUUUUUGUGCUUAUUGUAAUGAAGCUUAAGCAAGAUUCUCAAUAUACCGCUUCAUUGUUGAAAUGCUUUAAGGCAAUUGGCUUUGAAUCUCAUACUUUACUUCCUCCCAGGCAUGCCUCAGUUGUCCAGAAACACACUGUUUAUCUUAUCGCUUAAGUCAUGUCCAGAAAGAGCAACCAUGUAUCUUAUAUACUAUGUAGUCUGUUUGCUUAAGGAGCCAUAUACCAUAUGAUUCCUAGAUCUGGUCUAAAUUAAUCCCCCAUGCCCCCGAAAAAAACCAACCUGCUCUGAAACUUUUGGCAUACUCAAGUCAUAAAUAAUAGGACCAUUAAAACAAUACAUUAGUCUCUGACCCUCUGAACGUAGCCAUUGGAAGAACCGAGUGCCCUGUGAACAGGAGAGGACGUAACUACGUUUAAGUGAAGCUUUAAAAUACGAAUUUUUGAUAGUUCACAAGAAACAGGUUUACAGAAGGCGUUAUUCAAACAAAAUGUGUACACUAUUUGCCUAAUCAUUAUGGAGUACAUGAUUUAAAAAUAAAUAAACAAAAGAACCUCCCUUAGACCAGCAGCCAUUAGCAUAGCAAGAUGGGCUUUAAAGAUGAUAUACCACACAAACAGACAUGCCGUGGAGAAACACUCCUGUCAGAAUCUAACCUGGAUUCUUGAAUAGAGGAAGCAUUGGUGGUGGGAAGCACAUGGCAGAUAGGAUAUGCGCAUGUGUCUAAGAUGGUCUCAUCAAGAUGGUGAGACUCUUGACUCUCACGGCCUCGGGCUGAGGCCCUCUCUGGGCUUUGCCAAGAUUAUUCUCCACUGGAACCACAGCUUUGUGUUCCAUGACGACAUGUCUAGUUUUUAGAGUUUAUCAACAGAAAAGUUUACAAAACUGAGUCUGGUUGAAUCUCUGUGAGGCAUUCAACUUUAAAGGGUCAACACAUCUGUCGGCAUUUUGCACACUUAUAUAUUAUUAUGAUACAACAUAUUACUUUAUGGUAAUUUUUAUUUUUUACAUAUAACUACCUCCAUGAAUCUGAUGAAAUGGCAGCGGUGUGUUAAAGUGUGUUCUUAAGACAAAAAAAGCAAUGUUUCAAACGCUUUUCAGCAGUAGGCCAUGGUGUUGCAUGUGUGUCGGUGACUUACCCAUUGGACUCAUGACUUUUUUGUUGCCAUGGUUUUCUUUCACAACAUCCUUUGGCUUCCAACUGUAAGCCUGUUGUUCCCCUUCCUUUCUCCCUUCUCCCCCAUGAAAGCACAUCUGAUUUGUUACAAAUGAAUGAACAUUUUAAAAUUACUGUCUUCCCCGCUUCUCUACUUCUGUUAUUAGAGAGAGAGAGAAAAAAGUUCUCUUUGGCAAAGAGCCACUUGGUAAACAUUUAGGAAGUUAUUAAUUCCUAUAGCAAUUGAAUUGGAUUGCUAGUGCCCCCCCCCUCCAGUAAGAAAAGACAUGAGAACUUUGAAGCACUUUGGGCCUCUCUGCUUUUAUCAUAUGCUACCCUAUGGAGCCCAAACUUCCUUCUUAUUAAAAGAACUGUGCCGUGCAUUCUGGGAUGUCUGUUAAGCAAUUUAUCUACCGUUUGAUAUAUCUUACACAUCUCAGGAGACCUUAAUGAGUGCAAAAAUAGGAUGUGUGCACACCCAAUAGGGAAAACCAAUAGGAAAGAAGAAAUGAGAGCAGCCAGGUAGAAAUAAGAAAUGCCUGUGUUUUAUAUGUUGGAGAAUUCACAUUCAGGAAACACAAGUGGAAAGGGAAUGUGGAGGAGCAGUGAUUUAAACACCAGCUGUUCCUAAAUGUCUCUUUCUGAAAACGUUACAAUGUACAAUGAAAUUCUAUUGUGGCUGCCACCAAGACAGGAAGGGGGUGGGGGGUGGGGGGUGUACCUAGAGGAACACCCUUCCUCUUUUAGGUUAAGAUAGCUUUGUCCAGUCCUACCUAGGAUUAAUCCCUUGUCACCACAAAGUGUACUUGAAGGCAAAGCUUGUGAUGUCAGUGAUGGGCACAGUUCUCACCAGGCCAUUUGGGAGAGGUAGCAUUCUGAGCUUGUGCUAACAACCAGUGACUGGUAAAGUUCCGCAGCUCAACUGGGCAGCUCAAAAUGCUUCUGAAGCGUUAGCUGCACAAUGGCAGAGCAGGUCCUGUGGGUCACACGCAUGCUUGACAGGAGCAGACAAACGGAGUGACUCAAGAUCCCCCAGAAACACAGUGGCAGCUCUCUCUCUCUCUCUCUCCUCUCUCUCUCUCUCAAUGACCUAUUUUCUAUCUGUUUGAUAGGCCAUGGUGAGACAUCACUAAAAUGCUAUUUUUAUGAUGUGUGCU
rnacentral:lncRNA from 1 species